GUGCAUCGUAGAACGCAGGUUCCGUAUCAAUUUAUGACUUGGUUGGUAUGGGCUUGAGUUGGGUUGUGUUCAACUUUAAAUCUGGAUUUUGGAUUAAGUUGGUUUUUAAGAAAUCAAGAGGAGGCAAAUUCAAUCACCUCUUACUCAGAAAUUCACCGCGCCGCGGUCAAAAAGUAAAGAAGAGGGAAGAGAUAAAAGAAAAAACACACAGAAAUGUGCAAACGCACGCACGAGAAUUGCAAAAUAGGGCAAAACCCACAGCGAAAUUGGCGCGUAGGCCCAAAUGUGGGGUCCCAUUGGUCGGUGGGCGGAUCACCCCAAGUCCAGCGCAAGCUUGCGAAGACGAAUUCCGGUAUAAAAGCUCGGCACGCGUUUCGAAAAUGCCUUGCAGUGACUCGUUCUCCACGCAACUAAAACCAUCAUCAUCCUCCUCGAUAAAUUUUGUCUCACGAAUAACCAACAGGCAAACACAAUGAAGACCUCAUUCGGAAACGUUGCAAUAACCGUAUUGGUUGUGAUGGCAGGAAUUUUAAUCUUUUCGGUUAAUCAAUCGCAAGCUGCACCACAUUUGCCCAGUUUUUAUCAAUCCCAAUACGAGAGUCAAAAUCCAGAAUAUAUUCUUCAAACGUUGGCCAGAUUAAGACAAGCUUUAAUCGCCGAAGAUGACUUGGAAAACGGGGAUCGCCCUAAAAAAAGAAAUUUCGGCACUGAUAGAGGAUAUACGGGAAAUAUCGAAGCUAUAAUGAGAGCUAUGGUUUAUUGCGAACAACACCCAUCGAAAGAAAUCUGCAAAUCGUUCCUGUAAGGAUUUUCUUUACUAAACCGAAAAAAAAAAAUCUUAGA